rnacentral:rRNA from 1 species
UACGUAGGGUGCAAGCGUUGUCCGGAAUUAUUGGGCGUAAAGAGCUCGUAGGCGGCUUGUCACGUCGACUGUGAAAACCCGGGGCUCAACUCCGGGCCUGCAGUCGAUACGGGCUGGCUUGAGUGCGGUAGGGGAGACUGGAAUUCCUGGUGUAGCGGUGAAAUGCGCAGAUAUCAGGAGGAACACCGGUGGCGAAGGCGGGUCUCUGGGCCGUAACUGACGCUGAGAGCGAAAGCGUGGGGAGCGAACAGG